rnacentral:rRNA from 1 species
GACCCAACCGAAAGGAGGGAGCUGCCGAAGGCGGGAUUGGUAACUGGGGUGAAGUCGUAACAAGGUAGCCGUAUCGGAAGGUGCGGCUGGAUCACCUCCUUUCUAAGGA